rnacentral:ribozyme from 16 species
AAACAGGCCAAUAAUUAUUUUAUUUUUUGAGUUUUGACUUUUUUUUGCGCACCAUGCGCCAUGAGAAGUAAUGUUUUUUUUUCGUUUUUGGCGCAAUUCUAAGCUCCUUAAGCCGAUAAUUAUACAUUUUUAUAAAAAUGAAAG